rnacentral:tRNA from 1 species
AGGCACGUAGCUCAGUGGGAGAGCGCUUCCUUGACACGGAAGAGGCCGGCGGUUCAAUCCCGCCCGUGCCUACCA